rnacentral:lncRNA from 1 species
GCUGAUGUAAUAAGAUUAUUGCUAAAUGCUCAAUAAAAUCACCGUAAAUAGUUAAAAGCUUCCAAUCUAGAAUCCUAAAGAUAAAGGAAAUUAGUAAAUGAACAUGACUUAAUAUCUAUCUCUCAGGCUAAUCAAAUAACUAGCUUAGAAUAUAAUUAAAAAUCACCUAAUUCUAAGACACAAACCUAAAUUUAAACAUAUGAAAAAGUAUAAUGAAAAAAAAAUCUUCUUUGCGAGAAUUAACUGAUCUCGUGUUAGAUCGAAAGAAAUGUGAUGCAUAUUUUUAGAAUCGAUCUGUAGAGAUUUUGUUUUAAAAUAAAUUGAGCAAUGUUGACAAUGUGCACCCGCGUCAAACCUCUUUCUCCACAAGCCAGAAAAUUAAUAAAAAAUAAUUAUACAAAGAAAGCAGAGUGACUAGCCACUAGCGUCGGUAGAGUCAAGUGCAUACAUUUCUAUCGACAAAAAAGAAUUAGUCAAUUUACUGAAUUUCAGAGCGUAAAACCCAGUCCUGCAACCCAAAGGGGAGAUUUAUUUGUCCAUUUAUUUUUCCCUAUAAUACUGUCCAACCCAAGUUGACAUAUAAAACAUUUUUAGGUACUCUGUUUGCUUGAUUUUGCACUGACACCAUAUGCACCUUGAUAUAAGUUAUAAUUCUAAAUAAAGGCAUGAAAUUAAGUUUUUUUUUCAAAAAAAAUAAUUAAAGGACUGAACUUUCUGACGAGCCAAAUUUUUGCCGGCUGACUUUUUUCUGACCAAUUAAAACGGGGCAAUUUUCUCUAAAAUUUGUAAUUGGGUAAAAAAAAAAAAUUCUGUCCCCAAAAGAAAUCCCCAAAUUGAAUUGGGAUUAGGGUUCUUCUUUCGUUUCUUCUUCCUCUCAGGUAGUCAAGCAAAUUCCCCCUCCCCCGCUCCGCGCACCGCCCUCGCUGCUCCUUGCCAGAGAGAAUGCUCCCUGCAUUGUGUUUGCUGAUGAAAUUGAUGCCGUGGGGGCGGCAGAGAGGAACUGGAAUUGGAGGGGGAAAUGACGAAAGAUAAAACCAUCCAUCUCU